UACGUAGGGAGCAAGCGUUGUCCGGAAUCAUUGGGCGUAAAGGCGCGCGUAGGCGGCCUCAUAAGUCCGUUGUGAAAGGUCAAAGGCUACAACCUUUGAAAGCCGAUGGAUACUGUGAGGCUAGAGUACGGAAGAGGCGAGUGGAAUUCCUGGUGUAGCGGUGGAAUGCGCAGAUAUCAGGAGGAACACCAAUAGCGAAGGCAGCUCGCUGGGACGU
rnacentral:rRNA from 1 species